GGAUCAUGUAGAAGAACACUACCAGAAAAUAUAUGUCUUAUAAUUAUGUCUAAUAUGUCUACAAGAGAACCAAACUGUAAACCUAUCCAAGAGAAGCUGUUCCCUAAAAUUAUAGCGGUGUAUAUUUGAAGAUUCGGAAGAAAACUUUAUUACUGUGUACUUAUUAUUAUUGCCAGCUCCAAGAAAGCUGAGAAAGCAAAUUUUCCAAGUUUUAUUCGUACUUAAAUUUUAUUUUCAGUUAUGGUUAUUUGCAUGCUGAAGUACACCUGAAACACCUGAACGGCUCCUGUUCAACAGUUGGUUUAGAGAAUUAUCAGCAAUACGAAUACGCUCGAAACCAUGCUAAUUUAGCUCACUUGCACCGACAAACCACAAUACGAAAAGAAUUAUAAAAAAAAUACUUCUUUUUAUGACCGUAAAUUUGGAUUGCCUCAAUGGUUUGGAAAAGGCAGAAACCUGUGAUUUCCUCACGAACUAGAACACAAAUUCAGCGUUCAUACAACACUGAUACCUGGCGUAAAUCCAUGCGUCGUUUAAUAUUCCGAAUGUUUAAUAAAAAGGGAAAGCCAAUGGAAGAUCAAGCUACAUAUUUCUCUAAUUUAGAGAAACCUAUACACCUGAAGGAUCGCGGAGUGUUUAAGAAAUAUUUCUUUAGAUGACUCGUUUGGCUUAUGAGUUCCUUUUGCCGCUUUAAUUUAAGCGAUGACUAUAUAUAUAAGGAUAUUAAGCACCACUAAAGAACAAUAAGACAAAGCAAUAUUCCUACCUACGAAAUUGAAGGUUAUAGAAACGACAUAUGACUUCAUAAUAAAAAUUUUUCCUACGAAGUAGAGUUGACUUCGUUUAUUUAGUCCACGG